GACGAACGCUGGCGGCGUGCUUAACACAUGCAAGUCGAACGAUGAAGCUGGAGCUUGCUCUGGUGGAUUAGUGGCGAACGGGUGAGUAACACGUGAGUAACCUGCCCUGGACUCUGGGAUAACCCCGAGAAAUCGGAGCUAAUACCGGAUAGGACCUCGGAUCGCAUGAUCUGGGGUGGAAAGUUUUUCGGUCUGGGAUGGCCUCGCGGCCUAUCAGCUUGUUGGUGAGGUAAUGGCUCACAAAGGCGUCGACGGGUAGCCGGCCUGAGAGGGUGACCGGCCACACUGGGACUGAGACACGGCCCAGACUCCUACGGGAGGCAGCAGUGGGGAAUAUUGCACAAUGGGCGCAAGCCUGAUGCAGCAACGCCGCGUGCGGGAUGACGGCCUUCGGGUUGUAAACCGCUUUUAGUAAGGAAGAAGCCGCAAGGUGACGGUACUUGCAGAAAAAGGACCGGCUAACUACGUGCCAGCCGCCGCCGUAAGAC
rnacentral:rRNA from 1 species